UUUUUUGCUGUAGAUACUUAAAAAAUUUGGUAUUUAAAUUUUUUUAACUUUUACUUUGUAAUCAAUAAACUACUUCCCUUUGGAAUUUUUAAGAGUUUUAUGCACAGAAAUAAUUAAAAUUUUAACUAUAUGACAGAAUGUAAAAAGGAGUAUUUGAAGGUCCACUCUGGUCUAGGUCUUGCUUUUGUUCCCAUCCUAAUGCUGCACUAAUGACCAACCUAUCAGGCAGAAAACUUGAAUUCCUGCAGUCUUGUUUCCUCUACUAAAAUAUAUUAUAGUGGAGUAUUAAUGCCCACAAUUUGAAUUUUCUAUUGUGCCCUGCUUCCAGUGCUGCCCUCAGCAAUACCCGAUCUAGCUCUAGCCCGAGUCCCAGUCUUAAUUCUCUCUAAAGCGACUCAGUUUGCAUUAAAUAGAUGCUCAAAGUAGGUUGUCCAUUUCACAUUCUUUAGACUGGGAUACCCUAUCUACCUCCAGCAUUGCUCAUAUUCAGUGCUAUCUAAGUCAUCAUUUUCAAUUAAUGUGCCCAAUCCCGUUUGUCCAAUGUCCCAUGUUAGAACAAAGAAUCUGUACCCUUCACAUUAAUGUUAAUCAAGAGCUUCGUAUCAGAUAAUUAUUGUCCAUAAUUGUAGUUACUUCUCAAUCCCCUGCCUUUAGGGAAGGAGAAACCUUUCCUCUGCCAUUGCUGCAGUAGUCACAGUCCCAAUUUUCUGGGAAAUGUUCAUAUAUUGUGCUGACCCACCUCCAUCUGAACUCUGCACCGAGUGAAAUUCUAAUUGACCAUAACCUUACCCAUUGGAUUAAAUCCCACCCUUUUGCAUUUAGCAUGGGGUGCAGAGAACUCAAGUCUUUGGUUCAACACUUAAUGUGUUUAGUCCCAAUUACCAUAGCCUUGUUCAUUAAACAAGGCACCCUAUCAUUUUUGCCCACAUUCUAGGGUGUUCUGCUAUUCUUGGACAAUUAAAGUACCAAGCUGUAAUUGCACAUUGUCUUGUCCAUUAAUCAAAAGACGUCCAUCCCAUUUGUAUUGCUGAUAGGCAGUGCUGACUACCUGAGACCACAUUCCCUGAAUUAUUGAGUUGAAUCCCAAAUGUUCAUACCCCAUUCAUUACACAAGUACUUUGCAACUUCUUUGUACUACAGCGAGGCACAUUCUCAAAAGUUCUUUACUUUGAAAUAUUAAUGGUACCAUAAAACUGCUCAUGGUCCUGCCUAACAGUUAAGACCCACUUAUGCUCUUUCAUUGCUCCUAGGUAGUGUAGACCACCUACCACCAUACAUUAAUCUAUAAAACCCCCACCACCCACUGUCCCACUAGUUAGCAUAGGAUAUCCCUUACCACUAUGUCAUUACUUGUGAAGAGUUCUGAAUACUCAAGUUCCCUUCUCUUAAAAUUAAUGUGCAUAACUGUAUAUAUCCAUGGUCCGGUGCAAUAAAAAAUAGAAUUUCUCACCUCACCUCUUUGGGAUAUUGCUAGGGAAUGCAGAUUAUUCAAGAACUCAGUUCUUGGGCAUUUAAUUUACAGUUGCAGUUCUCCAGAGUCCUGGCCAUUGGACAGGGCCUCUGUAGCCCAUCUGCAUGCUGUAAUGUGGCCAGAUCAUACAAGGAACCUUCUCUUGAAUUGGUAAUGUCAAUGAUUACAUUCAUCCAUGUCCUGUGAACUAGCUACACCCAUUCCAUUUGUUUUCUCGCAGGGGACUCUUACUAAAGAAAUAAGCACUAGGUCAAGAUGCACAAUCCUAAUGGCUAGAACUGAGCCUUUCCUAAUGGCUAGAACUGAGCCUUCUGUAUCAGGAACCCUGUACCGUCUUUACAGUUGGAAGGUGCUGAUUACCUAAGGCUAUUUUCUGAAAUUGUUCAUGUGAAAAAUUACAAUCCCAGUUUUGUUCUAACCUAGGAUCCCAUCCCCAUCUAAUUUGCUUUGGAUUAUUGCAGAGGGUGCUUAGGCCUGUUAAUGUGCUUAAAUGCAGCUACAGUCCUCUAUGCUAGUAUGUUAGUGAAGGAUUCCAUCCUCCUGAAAUUGCUUUACAUCAUUGUAGUGGGAAUUUAGGACUGUUAAUGUGCUUAAUUACAGCUAUAGUCCCUUCUGUUAGUCUACAAUCCCAUCCCCUUCUACUCCCUUGCAUUACAGCAGACAGUAUUUUCGACUAUUAAGGUGCUUAAGUGCAGUUACACUCCUUUCUGCUAGUCUAGGAUCCCAUCCAGUCCUACUCUCUUUGCAUCACAGCAGAGGGUACUUGGGACUGUUAAUGUGCUUAAAUGCAGCUACUGUCCCUUUUGUUAGUCUUGGAUCCCAUCCGCCCUAGCUCCUUUUGCAUCUCACUGAAGGUACUUGGGACUGUUAAUGUGCUUAAAUGCAGCUACAGUCUCUUUUGUUAAGGAGGAUUCCAUCCUCCCCCAAGUCCCAUUACAUUCUUGUAGAGGAUGCUUGGGACUGUUAAUGUGCUUAAAUGUAGCUACAGUCCAUUCUAUUAGUUUAGGAACCUUUCCACUUGAUGUGAAUUACAGGAGAGCUACUGUCCUCCCUUCUGUUAGUCUAGGAUCCCAUCCCCUACUACUGGCUUUGCAUUACCACAGAAGGUACAAGGGACUGUUAAUGUGCUCAAAUGCAGCUAUGGUCUCUCAUAUUAAUCUAGGAUCUUAUUCACACCGAACUUCUUUUAUGUUAUGCAGGAGUUACUUAGAACUGUUAAUGUGCUUAAUUGCAGCUACAAUCCAUUCUAUUAGCCUAGGAACAAGUCCCUUUCUACUUUAUAUGAAUUACAGGAGAGUGAACUUGGGACUGUUAAUAUGCUUAACUGUAAUUACAGUCUCUUACGUUAACCUAGGAUCCUAACCCAACUAAUUCUCUUUCCAUUAUUGCAGAGGAUGAGUGGGCCUGUUAAUGUACCUAAGUACAGUACAGUUCCCUUUGUUAGUCUAGGAAAUCAUGCCCUAUUACUUCCUUUGCAUCAUAGAGGAUAUUUAGGACUGUUAAUGUGCUUAAUUGCAUCUACAGUCCCUUCUGUUAGUCUAGGAUCCCAUCCCCCUACUACAGGGUUUGCAUUACCGAGGGACUUUGAAAGUGCUUAAAUGCAGCUACAGUCCCUUCUGUUAAUGAAGGAUUCCAUCCUCCCCAACUCCUGCUGCAUCACAGCAGAGGGUACUGGGGACUGUUAAUGUGCUUAAAUGCAGGGGUGGUCCCUUAUGUUACUCUAGGAUCUCAUUCACACCUAACUUCCUUUACACUAUGCAGGGGUUACUUAGAACUGUUAAUGUGCUUAAUUGCAGCUACAGUCCAUUAUAUUUGUCUAGGAACCAAACCCUUUCUACUUGAUUCAGAUUACAGGAGAGCAAACUUGGGACUGUUAAUGUGCUUAAAUGCAAUUAAAGUCCCUUAUAUUAACCUAGGAUCACAACGUACCUAAUUCUCUUUCCAUUAUUGCAAAGGGUGCUUGGGACUGUUAAUGUACUUAAAUGCAGCUGAAGUUCUUUUUGUUAGUUUAGGAUCCCAUCCCCUUGUACUCCCUUUGCAUUACAGCAGAGGGUAUUUGGGACUUUAAUGUGCUUAUAUACACCUACAGUCCCUUUUGUUAGUAUUGGAUCCCAUCCCCUUGUACUCCCUUUGCAUUACAGCAGAGGGCAUUUGGGACUUUAAUGUGCCUAAAUGCAGCUACACUCCCUUAUGUUAGGGUACAAUACCGUCCUGCCCAACACCCUUUACAUCACAGUGGAGGGUAAUUGGGACUGUUAAUGUACUUAACUGCAGCUACAGUUCCUUGUUAGUCUACAAUCCAUUCUCUUCUACUGUCUUUGCAUUACCACAGAGGGUACAAGGGACUGUUAAUGUGUUUAAAUGCAGCUGUAGUCCCUUAUGUUAAUCUAGGAUCUCAUUCGCACCUAACUUCCUUUACAUUAUUCAGUGGUUACUUAGGAUUGUUCAUGUGCUUAAUUGCAGCUACAGUCCAUUCUAUUAGCCUAGGAACCAAUCCCUUUCUACUUGAUGUGAAUUACAGGAGAGCAAACUUGGGACUGUUAAUGCACUUAAAUGCAGUUAAAGUCCCUUAUAUGAACCUAGGAUGCAACCCACCUAAUUCUCUUUCCAUUAUUGCAAAGGGUGCUUUGGACUGCUAAUGUGCUUAAAUGCAACUGAAGUUCUUUUUGUUAGUUUAGGAUCCCAUCCCCUUGUACUCCCUUUGCAUUACAGCAGAGAGUAUUUGGGACUUGAAUGUGCUUAAAUGCAACUACGAUCCCUUCUGUUAGUGAAGGGUUCCGUCCUCCCCAACUCCCGCUGCACCACAGCAGAGGCUAUUUGGGACUGGUACUGUGCUGUAAUGCAGCUACAGUCUGUUUUGUUAACCUAGGAUCUCAUACCCACCUAACUCGCUUAAUGCUAUUACAGAGGGUACCUGGACUGCUGAUAUGCUUAAAUGCAGCUCUUGCCCCUUAAAUAUGUUUGGGAUUGCAUCCUUCUAGAGAGUACUUUGCAUCAUAACAGAGAGUACUUGGACUGUUAAUGUGCUUAACUGCAGCUAUAGUCCAUUCUGUUAGCCUAGGAACCAGUCCCUUACUACUUCGUAUGAAUUACAGGGGAGUAAACUUGGGACUGUUAAUGUGCUUAAAUGCAAUUAUAGUCCCUUAUGUUAACCUAGGAUCGCAAACUACCUAAUUCUCUUUCCAUUAUUGCAGAGGGUGCUUGGGACUGUUACUGUGCUUAAAUGCAGCUAUGGUCCCUUAUGUUAAUGUAGGAUCUCAUUCACACCUGACUUCUUUAUAUUAUGCAGGGAUUACUUAGGACUGUUAAUGCGCUUAAUUACAGCUACAGUCCACUCUUUUAGCCUAGGAACCAGUCCCUUAAUACUUGAUGUGAAUUACAGGAGAGUGAGCUUGGGACUGUUAAUGUCCUUAAAUGCAAGUACAGUCCCUUUAUUAGUCUUUGAUCCCAUCCCCUUCUGCCCCCUUUGCAUCACGGCAGAGGGUAUUUGGGACUUAAAUAUGCUUAAAUGCAGUCAUAGUCCCUUAUUAACCUAGGAUCCCAACCCACCUGAUUAAUUUUCUACAUAUUGUAAGGUAUGCUUGGGACUUUAAUGUGCUUAAAUGAAGAUACUAUCCCUUCUGUUAGUGCAGGAUUCCAUUCUCCCCAACUCUCCUUGCAUCACAGCAGAGGGUAUUUGGGACUGUUGCUGUGAUUUAAUACAGCUGAUGUCCCUUUUGUUAACCUAAGAUCCCAUUCCCACCUAACUCCCUUAACGCUAUUACAGAGGGUAGCUGGACCGUUGACAUGCUUAAAUGCAGUUUUUGCUCCUUACAUAUGUUUAGAUUCCAUCCUUCCACCUUCCUUUGCAUCACAACAGAGUACUUGGGACUGUUAAUGUGCUUAAAAGCUGGUAUAGUUCCUUUUGUUGGUAGGAUCCCAUCCCUUUCUACUCAUAUUUGCAUUACUACAGAGAGUACUUGGGAUUGUUAAUGUGCUUAAAUGCAGUUAUUGUUCCUUAUGUUGGGGUAGGAUUCCACUCUCCCCACACCUUUUGAUCAUAGUGGAGAGUACUGGGACUGCUAGCAUGCAUCUUUAGUCCCUUCUGUUAGUCUUGGAACCUAUCCCAACCUAGUCUCUCCGACCACAGAGGGCACAAAGGACUGUUAAUGUGUUUAAUGUGGCUGUGGUCCCUUCUGUUAGUCUAGAAUCCCAUCCCCUACUACUGUCUUUGCAUUACCACAGAGGGUACAAAGGACUGUUACUGUGCUUAAUUGUAGCUAUGGUCCCUUAUGUUAAUCUAGAAUUUCAUUCACACCUAACUUCCUUUACAUUGUACAGGGGUUACUUAGGACUGUUAAUGUGCUUAACUGCAGCUACAGUCCACUCUAUUAGCCUAGGAACCAGUUCCUUUCUACUUGAUGUGAAUUACAGGAGGGUAAAUUUGGGACUGUUAAUGUGCUUUAAUGCAAUUAAAGUCCCUUAUGUUAACCUAGAAUCCCAACAUACCUAAUUUUCUUUACAUUACUGCAGAGGAUGCUUGGGACUAUUCAUGUGCUUAAAUGCAGCUACAGUGCCUUCUGUUAGUCUUGGAUCUCAUCCCCUUCUGCUCCCUUUGUGUUAAGAGCAGAGGGUAUUUGGGACUUGCUGUGAUUUAAUGCAGCUGGUGUCCGUUUUGUUAAAGGAGGAUCCUAUACCCACUUAGCUCCCUUAGCACUAUUAGGUAGGGUACCUGGACCAUUGAUAUGCUUAAAUGCAGUUUUUGCUCCUUAAAUAUGUUUAGAUUCCAUCCUUCUACCUUCCUUUGCAUCACAACAGAGAGUACUUGGGACUGUUAAUGUGCUUAAAAGCCGCUAUAGUCCCUUUUGUUCAUAGGAUCCCAUCCCUUUCUACCCGCUUUUCAUUACCACAGAGGGCACAAGGGACUGGUAAUAUGUUUAAUGUUGCUAUCUUCCCUUAUUAGUCUGGGAUCCCACCCCUCCUACAUUACUUCAGGGUACAAGGGACUGUUGAUGUGCUUAAAUGCAGUUAUGGUCCCUUAUGUUAACCUGGAGUCUUAUCCCCACCUAACUCCCUUUGAAUUAUUGAAGGGUAACGUGAGACUUAAUAUGCUUAAAUGAAGCUACAGUCCUUUUAGUUAUUGUAGGGUAUCACCCCCUUGUUGCUUUGCAUUAAAAGAGAGUACAGGGAACUUCUCAUGUGCUUAAAUUCAGUUACAAUCCCUCCUGUUAGCUUAGGAUCCAAUCCCCAUAUGACUCCCUUUACAUUAUUGCAGAGGGUACAAGGGACUUUUACUGUGCUUCAUUGCAGCCACAGUCCCUAAUGUUAACCUAGGAUGGCAUUCCCCCUCCCACUUUCUUUGCAUUAACACAGAGGGUACGAGGAUUGGUAAUGUGUUUAAAUGUACCUGUGGUCACUUAAUAAUAAUCUAAGAUCCUGUCCUCAUCUAAUGCCCUCUACAUUGCUUUGGAGGGUACAAGGGACUGUUAAAGUGCAUAAAUGCAAGCUCUGGUCCCUUAUGUUAAUCUAGGAUCCCAUUCCCACCCAACUCCCUUUGCAUCACUGCAAAGGGUUUCUGGGACUGUUAAUGUACUCAAAUGCAGCCAGAGUCCCUUUUGUUAGUCUAGGAUCUCAUACUCUCCUACUCACUUUGCAUUACCACAGACAGUAUUAGGGGCUGUUAAGUGCAUAAAUGCAUGUGUCCCAUCAGUUAACCUAGGAUCCCAUCCCCACCUAACUCCUUUGCAUUAUUGCAGAGGGUACCUGGGACUAUUAAUAUGCUUGUAAAUGCACUGCAGUUCCUUUUGUUAGUCUAGGAUCCCAUCCCUUUCUACUUGUGCAUACCUCAGGGUAGAAGGGACUGUUAAUGUGCUUAAAUGCAUCUCUUGUCCCUAUGUUAACCUAAGAUCCCAUCCCCUCCAACUCCCUUUGCAUUACUGUAGAGGGUACUUGAGACCUUUAAUGGGCUUGAUUGUAGCUGCGGCCCCUUCUUUUAGUCAAGUUUCCCUUGCCCUCCAAUUCUCUGCUUUUUAGUAGAGGGCACUUGGGAUUAAUGAUGUGCUCAUCUGCAACUGUGGUCCCUUGAGUUAAUCUAGGAUCCCAUCCCUUCCUACUCUUCUGUAGGACUUGGGGGUACUUGGGACAGAAAGGUGCUUAAUUGUAGCUAGAGUCCUGUAUGUUAGUCUAGGAUCCCAUGCCCUCCAACUCCCUUUACAUUACCUGGAAGGAUUUGGGGGACCAUUAAAGUGCUCAGUUGCAGCUAUGGUCUUAUGUUGGUCUAGUUUCCCAUCCUUUUCACUCCUUUUGUAUGACCUGGAAGCAGAUUUGGGACUAUUAACAUGCUCAUUUGCAGCUGUGGUCCCUUCUUUAGUCUGGAGUCGCCUGCCCUCUAACUUACUUUCCUUUACCAUAGAUGGUACUUUGGACUGUUAAUGUGCCUAAAUGAAGGUAUGGUCCCUUUUGUUAAUCUAGGAUCUCACCUCCUUUCCAUUACUUGGUUGCAGAUUUGUUACUGAAAGGUGCUUAACUGCAGCUGUGUUCUGUUGUGGUAGUCUAGGAUCCAACACCUUCCAACUCCUUUGCAUUACAGCAGAGGGUGUUUGGGGCUGUUAAAUGCUCACUUGUAGCUGUGGUCCUUUCUCUUGUCUGGAAUCCUAUGUCACCAACUCCUCUGACGUUCCCUGGCAGUUUUCGGGACUAUUAAAGUACACCAUUUCCCAUGGUCUUAUACUGCAUUUACAGUACUUGGGAUUGUAUUUGGGACUGUUAAAAGUGCUUAAUUGAGCUGUGGUCCCUUCCUGUUAGUAUGGUUUCCCAUGGCCUCUUUACCCUCUUUGCAUUACACAGAGGGUACUUGGGACUUUGAAAGUGCUUAACAGCAGCCAUGGUCCCUUUUGUAUUUUAGGAUCUCAUGACCUCCCACUCCCUUUACAUUACCUGGAAAGGUUUGGGGCUGUCAAAGUGCUCGAUUGUAGCUGUGGUCCCUUUCUGCUAGUCUGGGGAUCCAUGCCUUCCAAUUUCGUUUGCAUUACCACAGAGAGUACUUGGGACUGAAGGCAGGUGUGAUCUCUUUUGUUAGUUUAGGAUCCCAUAAUCUCCUAAUCCCUUUAUGUUACCUGGGAAGGCACUUGGGACUGUUAAGGUGCCUAACUGCAGCAGUGGUCCCUUCUGUUAGUCUAUGAUACAGUCCCCUCCUACUCCCUUUUCAUUACCUCCAUGGUACUUGAGAUUGUCAAGGUGCAUCCCUUCCUCUCACACCCUGUUAGCAUUACAGCAUUACCUGCUGAACACAAGGCUGCCUUUUUUGCACUGUUACUGUGCAUAAUUGCAUUUGUCCCUCUUACUCUGCAGUAUAUAAAAUCCUCACUUAUUUCCCUUGUAUUCAUCAGUGGAUGUCCUUUACUCAAGACCUUUGUGCCUGGAUAAAGUGAGCUGUGGUAAUUGACUAUAGCUAUGUCUUUCAUUUAAGUCCCCUGUACUCUUUGUUUAAAAGAAGGUGUAUUAACUACAACAUUUACUUUUUCUGGGACUACUGAUGUGCAAAAUUCCAAUGUUCAUGGUCCCUCCCUUUAAUAUCCCACCUGUUUCAUAUUACAGCAGGGGAUGCUAGUCACCCAAAGUCCUUCAUUCGGGACUUUUAAUGCACAUAUGCCCUCCUGAUAAUAAGCUAAUAUCCUUAUUUCUUGGUAUUAUAGCAGGGGUAUUAUACUGACCACCUGAAGUCUUUUCUUUUGGCCAGUUUAAUGUGCAAAAUUGCACUAGGACCUGAUCCCCAUCACACCUCCUUUACAUGAGGGUGCUGAGUAUCUAUGGCUACUUCUCCUGUACAGUUUAAGUGUGCAUAAUUUCAGUAAUCCAUGCUCCUUUAUGUCAGAAUGGGAUCCCACUUCCUCACCCCAUUUACAUUACUGCAGGGGCUUCUGGCUAGCCAAGAUUCACUCUCUUGGAUUGUUAAUGUGCAGAGUUAUAUUUACUUCUGCACCUGUAUAUCACGUUUAAGACCCUCUUCAUAUUAUUAAUAUUCCAGCAGGAGGUGCCUAUUGCUCAAGACCUUACACACUAAUGUACUUAAUGUAUACACUCUUAUUGUCUUAUAGACACACUAAGUUGUCCACUACUGUGCCUUUUAGAUCAUAUUCUGCACUUACUGAAACAGGUACUGUCACACAUCAUAAAGCCCUUCUCUUGGGACUGUGGAUAUGUAAUUACAGUUGUCCGUGGUCUUGGGUUACCUUGGGUUCCUGAUUGCUUUUCAUACCCUCUUUGCUUUACUGCAUGGGUUACUGUCCACUUACGGCCCCUCUCUCAAACUGUGAAUGUGCAUGAUGACAAUUACAUUACGAUCCUUUCCCCUCACAGUCCCUUUUAAGUUUUGCAGGAAUUUUUACCCCUAAGGGGCCAUUUCUUGGCCUGUUAAUAUGGUUAAUUGUCUUUGGGUUCCUGUGAAUUAGGCAAGGACACCUCCCCCCACCCCCUUCUCUUUCAGCAGGGAGGGCCCCUUCCCCAAGAAUGUUAAACUUGGACAGUCCAGGUUCACAAUUGCAAUCAACCACAGCCAUGCACCUUGGACAUUAAUGUGCAUAAUUGCACAUGGCUUGUCCCACUUAAGAUCCUACCCUCUCAGACCCCUUUUGUAGUACAGCAGGGGUACUGGUCACUAAGGCCUCUUUUCAUGGCUUGCUAUUGUGCAUAAUUGCAUUUAUACAUGUUCCAUUACACUGGAUAAGGAUAUCUCUCUCCCCUCCCCCUUGGACUUUUAGCAAGGAAUGCUUAUUACCUUAAGAUCCUUCUAUUUUAUACAAAGUGCACAAUUUUAAUUGACCACACCAUUUCCCUGGACAUUAAUGUACAUAACUGCAACUUAUUUUGCACUACUCUAUUGCCUUCAAGUAUACUUGGACCCUUAAGUGCUGAUCCCUCAGUUCCCUUUUCUUGUUCUGUUUUAUGUGCAUAAUUGCAUUUGUCUGGGGUCUUGUACACUAGACAAGGACCACUCCCCCUCACCGCCAGCCCCCCCCACUUCCUCUGCCUUCCUAUAUGAUAAGAUGGAGCCCACUGCUAAGACCUUUACAUUUAGACAGUUAAGUACAGAAUUGCAGUGUUCCACAACUGUCACUUCCAGGACUGUUGUACCUUUGCAUUACUGCAGGGGAUACUGUUUUCCCCCAAGGCCCCUUCUAGAGGACUGUUAAUAUACAUAAUUGAAACUACUGUCUUCCUCAGCAGAUGUCUUAAAGUCUUAUCGCCUCAGCUUCCCUUUACAGUACAACAGUGUGCACUGAUCAACCAAGGCCCUCUGCUGUGCAACUGCAUUUUCUCCUGUACACUAGAUAAGGGCCCUCCCUACCAGCUUCCUUAGCAUUUUCAGCAGGCAGUGCCCACUAUUCAGGACCCUCACUUGGAAAAUAUAUGUGCACAGAUGCAAUUUCCUCAGCAUGUCUUAUAGCAGAUCCCCUGUAUCCUCUGCUUAGAGAAAGGAGAUACUGGUUACCUAAUGCUCACCCUUUUGGACUUUAAUGUGCAUAAUUGCAAUUGUCCAUCUCUGCUGUUGGAUUAGGAUUGCAGCCCCUCAACCUCUUUGCAUCAGGGGCAUGUUAACCAUGAGUGAGCUCUUCUGGAGAUAAUAUUAACGUGUAUAAUUGUAUUUAUAUAUGGACCUGUACAAUAGGAAAGGAUGCUCUGUGCCCCUACUGCUGCCUGUGUAUUGCUGCUGAGGUAUGCUAUCAGGACCUUACCUCUUCGACAAUUAAUAUGGACCAGUAACAAUGAAUCAAAGUACUGAUCAUUAGAUAGGACCCUUGUACCCCUUUUCCAUACAUACAUCAGGGAUACAAAGGCCCCUUUCUUGGACUAUUAAUGUGAAUAUCACAGUUGUCUCUGCCCUUUUCUGUUAAGAGUAGGAUACCAUUUGCUUUUGCCCCUUUUGCAUUACUGCAGGGGCAGCUGAUCAUACAAAACUUCCUGGGACUGUUAAUGAGCAUGAUGGCAAUUAGCAAUGAGUUUUUCCUUCCUGGCCUUGUUAGGCAAAACACUCCCAGCCCCAGUUGCCCAUGGUAUUAUCCAGUAUAAACACUGCAGUAUGCCAUGAACCUGUCCAUCAAACAGUGACACAUACUCCCACUCCUUUUGUAUUGCUGCAGUGUGUAUGAAAUUCCCAGUAGUCAUGGUCAUACCCUUGUCUUCCCUCUCCCCACCUCCUGCCUGCCUUUGGACCCUUAGGAACUAUUAAUGCUUACGAUUCCAGGAGUCCAUGUAUCCCGCCAUUAGACAAGAUAGGGCUCCUCUGCCCCUCCCACCUCCACGUUGCCCCUUUGCAUUGUUGCUGGGGAAUGUUCAUUGGGCAAGGAAGGCCCUUUGUCUUGGAGUUCAGAUGUUCACAAUCUCAGAUGUCAUUGGUUUACCCACUUUGUAUUGCUCCAAUGCCUCAAGUUGCACUUUCCCUGGUCCUGCCCAUCAGAAAUGGACCCCUGCACUUCCCUUCUUUGCAUUGCUCUUGAGUAGCAGUGACUACCCAAGCCCCCUCUGUGUAUUAAUACAGUACUGACCAUCCUAUGUUUCAGCCCAUCAGACCAGUAUCUCCAUACCACUUUGAUGUAUUUGUGCAGUGUUGACUACAAGCAGCAGGCCUGAACUAGGUGGAUGGGCCUUCACUCCUUUUCUUGCAUUUAUGAAUGAUCUCAGUUCAAUUAUUGUCACAUUCUGGGGACAGGAACCAUCCCUGCCCACCCUUGUUACUGCUUUACUGGGGAAAAUAUUAGAGGUAGCUGGAUUGCCACCCUUUAGGAUUUUUAAUAUAUAUGUACAAGUAUCAGUUGAAAAUUAUCUCCCCAGAGAGGGUUAGCAUUAUCUCUGCAUUCUUCUUUCAGAGCAGGCUCCUGGCUAAGAAUCUCUCAGUUGUUGACUAUUGCUAUGGUACAGUGUCAGUUGCCAGGAUACAACCAAACCGUUGCUGUUAAGUUUUUAUUUUUUAAGAAAGACAUGUGGAUUGCAAGAUGGAACUGAUAACCUGGUCAUUAAGUUUCCGAAGUCUAAAAACCCCAUUUUUAUGAUGUGCUUGAUGACCAGUGUCUCUCAUUUGAUUAAGGGUGGUGGGUCUGUGGAUAGACCACUGUGACGCUUCCUGUUUUAGUAUGAGCAAAGUAGUUCUGGAGUGGAAAUCUUAAGAACAGUACGUUUGGGUUCUACCACCAUUUUAAACCAUUUUAAAACUAUUCUUUGUUUGGGCUUUACCAUCAUUCACUAUUAGAAAAACUGCCUAAACUUUCUAACACUUAAAUUUCUUCAUCUGGAGCACCAGGCAGUCCUUAACUUAUUUCAAGAAGAUUGCUAUAAAAGGAUGUAGAGAACAGAAUGCUGAGGUGCUUUUGAAAACCACAGAUCACCUUGUUUGAUUAACUUAUUAUAUAAAAUACACCCUGUUUAAUUCAGCUUAUUUAAAGUAGCCUGAAGCACCACACUGAAGUGAGGACUUAGAAAUGAUGGGACCAGUUUCCCUGUUUUAUAUUAAAAGAAAUGUAAGCCAAGAUCUAAUCAUUAUUCUGGAUAUAAAUGUCAACAGUGAGAUAGCUGCCUUGUAAAAAUGAAUAAUAAGCCAGCCUUUAGUGUGCAGGGUGUUUGGUGGCAGAGAAGUAUUAAAUACGGAACUUCUGAAGCAAAUAACUAGUCAUCACAGCAGCAGUUCUUUGUAAUCACUGAAAAAGAAUACUAUUCCUCUGAGAAGAAUGUCAAGAUUGGCCCAGCUCAGGGUGCAGUUUGCACUACUGCUCCUUGGACAUCUGUAAGAAGAGUCUCUGGCUCUUUAGGAUACUGGAUGAAUUCUGAGACUUCUGUAACCCCAUUCAAGAGGAAGGACGGAUCAAUUUCACGUGGAUUGAGACUGACACUAAACCAGCAUGCAAAGAUCUUCCUCGGAAGAAUAGGCUUGUUGCUUUACAGUGUUAGGGACCUAUUCCCUUUGACGAUCCCUAGGUGGAGAUGGGGCUUGAGGAUCCUCCAUGGGAAAAGCUCACUACCACUGGGCAACAACCCGAGGCCACAACACUCUACCAAGAUUUCUUUCCUGGGCCCAGUAGGAAGAUGAAGUCUCAAGACAACCACCACACAUCAGAGCUCCUGAUUGUUUCCUUCAUAGCUGCCAAAGAAUUAUCCCUCCCAAAAGCAGUGCAGAGAGCAAUAAAUAUGAACACACCAAAGGAAGAGCAACAUGCCUGGCACUCUAGCAUUUUACACUAGCAGAAUGAAUGUGUAUUUCUUUGCUUGUCUAAUUCCUCCGUGAAUGUCUUUGGUCUUUCUUCUCUAUCUACAGUAUAUCUUAUUGUUCCCACAAGUCUCUUCCUGGUUUCUUUGUGUAUCUUUGUCUCAUUUUACACUUGUUUGUCCCCAAGAGUUAUCUGUGCCAUGUCUUAGAUGUCUGCCUUUAGUUUUUUCAUUUUAUUGCUGAUUCUCUUUGCUCUCCUAGAUAUGGCUCUUUUUUUACUGUUUUCUAUCCCUUUAUGGCUCUGAAUCAUAUGCUGUGUGCUUUUUGCUGGUUUCUUGUUCUGCCUAUCUCUCUUUUCUCUGUGCGAACUCGUUUGUUCAUCAUUCCCUCUCCUUGUUGCCUUGACGUUUCACCUUCUGAUUCUGACCUUCCUUCUGGUUGUUUCUACUCCUUAUCUUGCAUUUCUUUCUGUAUGUCCUCUAUAUCUGUCUUGUGCUAUUUUCUCUCUUUUUCUCCUGCUCUGUGUGUCUGUGUCUCUACUCUCUGUGAUUUUCCAUUUUCAGUGUUCAUCUCUCUGUGCUCUUCUUUCUUCUCUGCCUUUUCUCUUAUACUCACCUUUGAGUAUUUCAGCUUCUUCAUGAAUCUGUGUCACCCCCUCUGAUUUCAUGCAGUCUUCUCUCCUUGCAUAUUUUGUGUGUGUGUAUGUGUGUGCUACUGUAGGUGUGUCUGUGGUAAAGGGGAUUCCCAGCCCCUUCCUAAUAGGUGCAGACUGUCACCUAUGAAAAUAAGCAUUGCAGAGCUGUUCCUUACCCCAGGCUGCCCUCUGAGAUGAUAAAAGACCUAACAUGGAGAAGGUGGAAGGCCCAAAGUAGAAGACAGAUGGAUUGAGACUUGAGACCUAAAGACUAAAAUGGAAAACCUGUGUCCCAAGAUAGAUGGAAACCUCAGGCCUGAGACUGUCUGAAGCCCUAAGAGUUACAAUGUACAGAAGGUAGGCCUUAUUGGACAGAGACUUAAAGACCUGACUGAAUUGGGUGGAAGGCUCAAGUCUUGAAUUAUAUAAAAAGCUGAAGACCCAGGAUGGGAGCUAAGGAAGGCCCAAGAUAAGGCCUAAGAUAAAAAAGCCUUAGCUUAAACACCUAAGACUCAAGGAUGGAAGACCUCAGACAAACAUAAAGACCGAGGACUCAAGCCUCUCUAGAUGAAUAGGAUGCCCAAGAGAGAAAAGUAACUCAAGACUAAAUCAGGUGGGAAGCUGGAGGGCCAUGACCCAGAAUCUAAGGAUAGAAGUCCCAGGACGAGAGGAAACCCAAAGAUGAGAACUCUAAGCCCCACCUCUUUUCUGCUGUUACCUUCCCUGCUCCUGGACAUUUUCCAUUCUCCCUUUCCAGUUUUUAUAUCUCCAUUUAAGCCCACUUUUGAAGUGUUCUUUUUGAUGUUGCUAUUACCUUAAACAUAUCUUUAGCUGGCAAUAUUAUGCUUAGGCCAUUCUUAAGCCAGUUUUCAUCAUAAUUUUGAACCUUUCAUCAAGUGUUUGGUGCUUUUUAGACUUAGACUUCUUUUCACCACUUGACAGAAACAUGACAGGUAACAUUGUAUUUCAAUCCUCCAUUUUCCUCAGAAACUCUAGGCUGAUGAGAAGAGGAAAGCAUCAGGUUGUUGGGGAAAAAAGUGCCAGGCUAUCUAGAGAAAAUGUGAAGAGAUGCUCCAGGCCAGUGAGAAGAAUUAGACAAAAGACAGGUUUGCCAGCCUGCUCAGAAACACCAGCCAGCAAUACCUUAUUUCUUUGAGGUUGGGUGAGCAGGAUUCCUGGGGUUUGGGAUUUCUAGUGAUGGUUACAAAAAGGAAUGAAAUGACGGCCUGUGAAAGAGUAAAGCCCCAAGGAGCCAGCCUGAACUCCCUGCUCAUGGUAGUGGCCUAAUUUGAUGGGCUGUGUCAAGCCUGUCCCUGGGUUUAAUGCCCAUUUCUAGCCUUAAAGGAGUGAGAACUUGGGAACAAUUAGUAGGUUUAAUCCUUUCUUUGACUUUUUUCCCUCCUUACCAUGAGGGAAGACAAUUUGAAUGAUUGUGAAUAUAUUUGAAAGCACUCUAAAACACAGAAAAAAGCAAGGCACUCUCAUUCAUAGUAUAUUAACAGCCAUGCAUGGCUAACAUUUGAAAGUGCACUGUCAGCUCUGAAGCAUUAUGUAAAUAGGGUCAUCACACCUUUUUUGUAAGGGUCAGAUGGUAAAUAUUUUAGGCUUGAAGAGCCAUAUAGUUUUUGUUGCUUUAAAAAAAAACGCUUUAAAAAGGAAAAGCUAUUCUUAGCUCCUGAACCGAGUGGAUUUGGUCCGUAGGCCAUAGUUUACCGCCCCUGAUAUAAAUGCCAGGGACUGUGUGCUGAAUAAUACUAAUUUCCUCCUGUGGGCCUGUCCCUGUGCUGGGUGCUGAGGAUGCAGUAAUUCGGUAUGAUCACAUCCAGUUUAACUAAACUUAAAAUGUGAAUGUGCUUUUGUAAACUGUAAAGCACCUAAAGACUUAAGGAGUUUCAGAGUUGAUGAAUGAAUAUUGAUUGCAUAGUGUACACAUUCUACUGGGCUAAGGCUCUGUGGAUACAAAGAUUAAAAGAAGCAUGAAUAAAGUGCUGCACCAAAAGUAUAAUACUUCACAUAGACCAGGAAUUAAGUGUUUGAUAAAUGCGCAAUUCAUGUAUUUGUGGCCAUCAUGUUUUUGCUGCUAUGGUGAUUUUGAGUAAAAAGAGUAUCCAGGUAGCAAACACAUGGAAACUUCUUUUAAACUAUAAUACAUCACAAACACAAGGGAUUAAGCUAUUGUGAUCAAUAAUGUGCCAGAUAUACUAGGCACUAAAGAUAUCAAAGAAAAAAAAGCAUUCUCAUAGAAAUAAAAUUUCAGAUAAGUGAAUAUUGAAAACUAAAGCACUAUGUAAAUAUCAAUGCGCUACAUGUGUGUGAAUGAAUGAAUAAAUAUUAACUGCCUUUUGUGUACCAGCUAUUGUUUCAGGUACUGUGAAAUGCCAGAUAAUGCUCCCAAGUAGUAAGGGAGGUUUAUGUUCUAUACUAUUCACUAUACACUGCUUAUUUUAACUAAUAAAGACUUUACUGGUGAUGUCAAAUUGAUACCAGUGUAUUCUCCUAGGUAACAGCAAAAUGUAAUGAAUGAGACUGCACUUUCUAAACUAUAAAGUGCUAUAUAAAAUUUAGACAUUAGAUGUUUCCUGUGUGACUAAAAGUUUUUGCAUGACAGGCAUUAUCUCUACAAAAUUCUUGUGUGCUUGACCCACUAUGAAAGGGGUAAUACAAAUAGUUACAUAAACUGAAGGUUUAAAUACUUGUUAAAUGAAUGGAUAUCAGUUGCCUACUAGGUGAAUUAAAGAGCUAAAUAAAUUUAUCAUUUCAUUUUGCCUACAGUUGAGAAUAAGGCAGUACAUAUGUUAGCAUUUUGUGAACUCCAAAGCACCAUGUAAAUACAUGUAACUUGAUUUUCUCAUGUGGUGCCAAGUACUAAGCUAGUAAGAUUGUCACAGUUUAUAUAUAUAUAUAUAUAUAUAACAUAAAAUAAUAAUGCCAGUUUCCUUGCUAGGCACUGAGGAUGUGAAGAUGAAACCAUCUUUAUUUGUGUCCUGGGUAGCAGAAGAUAAUCUAUACAAUCAAUAAGUCUCAAAUUGCCAUACAUAGAUAAGCACUAUCUGUUGAAGGAGCACUGAUCAUUUACUCUGUCUUAUCCUCAGAGAAAGUAACUGGGGAUGUAAAAAUUCAUUAUCAUUGAACUACAUCAGAGAUCUGUGUAAACUUACAAAGUUGACUAAGGAAUUAACUGUUGGUUUAAGAAAUGAUUAUUGCUUACUUUUUAUGAGGCUUAGAACUGUGCAUGGCCUAGGAUAUAAAAAUACUAUCCUUAUUGGGUGUUCCCAGCAGGAAAUUGAGGUAUAGGUGUGAGAUCCAGACUGAAAGUUACUUAACCACUGUGAAGCUUAUCUGAUGAUGAAAAUGGGAAAAAGAAUUGUGCAGGACAGUAGGCCAAACGCUGAGCUAGGUGGAAAGAUAAAGUUCAGACCAGAAGUCUACUUGCACCCUGGUCUGAAUAGAGAUGGAGAAAGUUUUCUAAAAAGUAAAGUGCUGUUCUCCACCAGUACCAGUUUUUAAAAAUGCUGAGUGCUGAUGAUGGAGAUAUUUUAAGACCACACUUGCCUGGCUUAGAUACGCUAAAGGACUAAAAAUAAAUGGCUCAGGUUUACGUUUAGGUUAAUUUGCUAAACAGAGCAUCUUUUAUGUAGAAUACCAUUCUAGAUCCAGAGCAUAAGUGAAGUGAAAUGAGCUUUGUCUAAAGGGCAUCAGAUCACAAAUCAUAGCUGAAGAUACAAAGACAUCUUUGACUUGUAAGUAGAUAUUUCUGUGCCUGUUCUCCAGAAGGCAGUAUGCUUGAUGAAUUAAUCCAGUAGGUCUGGUUUCGAGGAUCUGUUGACUUGCCUUGGAGAUAGAAAAAGAUGGCAUGGUUCUUUAAAUAAAAAAGGAAGACAUUUUUCAUAGUUCUAGAAAGUCCCAUGUCACUUGCUUAUUUACAUGGCCUAAAGCCAGAAGAAGCCAGAUAAAAGGGCUCAAUGUUUGUCCUUUAAUAAAAUGUGAAUUAUAGUGAAAUGGUUUAAGAUACAAAUUAAGAUGAAACAACUUGUUUUAAAAGUAUUUGCUCAUUGGACUGGCUUAGAGUCAGGAAGCCACUUGAGCUAUAUAGAUGAUUAUUUCUAGAUUGUCCGUAUUUUGUAAAAAUUUAUUCAUUCUGGAUAAAGUCCUGUUCUUGAGUGUUUAGAUGAAGAGAUUUAAAAGACCUAGACCAAAACGCACUUUACUCUCACUAGCUUAUAGUGGAAACACAAGAACAAAUUUAAUAAGAGACUAUAGUUCUUCAAUUAGUUCAAAAAACUUCAUUGGAGCAGCUGUGAUACUAAAGCACUGAGAAGGAAUGAUGAAAUAGAUCACCUCUUUGGCAUGCUUUGUAGAGUAGGAAUAAAAGCUUUUUUUAUUCAUUCAUUCAUAGAAGGUAGUGCUAAAUGAAACAGGUUUGGUACUAAAGGUGCUUAGUCUGUCUUGAAAAUGCAGUAAAAACAAGAAGUGGAAUGAAAAGCUUUAUUAAUCAAAAGUUUGUUUAUUUGAAGGUACAGUGUUAAUUCCUUGACAGAAAACAAGUUGUGACUAAAGCACACUUUUUAAAAUUGGCUUGGAGCCUAGAAUAUAAGAGAAAGGUCACUGUUCAUUCACUUUUUUCAUUCAUUCACUCUACCAAGUAUAUUUGACUGUCUACUGUGUGUAAGGUCCUUUGCUAUGUUUUCAGUUGGCCCCAGAGAUGUGAAACAAACGAAUGCCUUCCCAGACAACUUUUAAAACUUUGCUUUUGGCCUGUUUUCUGGUUAUGGGCAAGAUUUAAUCUCUGAAUAAUAUUAUGGGGGUUUAAUUCCUACUCCAUAUUAUUUCCUACCACUCUGGCCACUAUAAUAAGCAGGGUUUUCUACUGAGCUUGCUCCAUAAGUUGCAGGAACUGUCCUUAUAAUAGACACUUCCUUUUCUCCUAGCCUAUUCCUCAUGAAAAAUAGCUGUGACCACUGCUGGGCAGGAGGAGAUAUAACAAAGAAAUAAUUUCCAAACCUGCCUCAUUGCUAUCAGCAUUGGGGAAUCAAUCAUUCUCAAGCCACGAUUGGUUUUGAAACAUUUACCAACUUUGUCUAUUUUGAGUUCUUUACAUUUUACAUUCUGACAAAUGUAUACUGCCUAAAUAGAUCUCUUUGAAGAAGAGUCCUUAAAUAGCACAUAGCAAGACUGGAGAUGGAGACAUGAUUUUGCUUUUGCAAUAGUUUCUCAAAAGACACCUUAGAAACCUCACCAUCAAAACCUGUUCAAGAAAGGACUUGUUAUACUGGAAUAAUGUCAGUGAAUGAAAAUAGCUUUACAAUUUCAUCAUGCUUAAGUUUUAAGAACAGUAACAAUUGGAAUUAGAAAAAAUAGGAGGGAAAAUAUUCCUUUAAAAUUCUCUCCAAAUAUAGGCCAAAGUGGGGUUUGACCUUUUCUUUUUUUAAAAUCACUCACAGAGGGUGGGAUAGGAGGAAGAGUGAAAGAAAAGGUCAAACCUCUUUAUAAGGGCAGCCUGCCAUUCCUGGAUUGGUCUUAAAAAGAUUACUACCUCCAGUCGAACUUGGGGAUUGCUUUAUUCACUUUAAUGCAGUUCUAAUAACUGGUCAUUGUUGAGAUGAAGACAAGACUCCUUUGUUCCCAGUCUUUUCUAUAAGUUCUUGAGAAUCAGUAAUUCUUGGUUGAUUGGUUUGGUUAUCAGCUAAGCCUUAGGCUAUGUAAUAAUGGGUUUUAUUAACAUGACCUCUCCAUCAUAAGGUAGUAAAGCUCAAGUCAAAAUUAACUACAAAGGAAGAUGACUUUUGUUCACUGUAAUUCAUACAUACUUCAAAGCAUCUAAACUUGAGAAUAUGUGGCAAGCCAACAGUAUCAUCCAUAAAUGGAGAAGGAAUUAGAGUAAUGACAGAGGCUAAUUGGUGGAGGGAGCAAGGCUAAAGAGGAUUAGUGGGUGAUCUUUUGAAUUUUGGAUCCGUACAUUUUAAUUUGUACAUCAGAUACAUCCAAAAUAUUCUCUGGCUUUUAAUAUGUGCUGUCAGCAGGGUUGAGUAACACCCCUUCAGGUGGGGAUGGGGGAUUGCAUUAUUAGGAAGUGAAAAGGAGAAAGUCACUAAAAGCCUUCCUUUCAAAGUUCCUGACAUCCUAAGACUACUUACUACUGAUAAGAAUAAGAGAACAUGCUGACACCUGAUUUUUGUCGCAUACAUGAAGUUGUGAACAAAUCUAUUUUUAAAGGAUAUUACUCCGUCUCUACCCUUCUACCUGAAAGGGAAUCCAUGUCAAAAUGCUGAUAAAUUGAAGAUAAACUGACUUGUGAACUCAUGUGAAAUGCAGAAUCUCUGAGCCUUGACUGGUUUGAAGAUUGAAAAACCUUACUCAGCAUGGGCGACCACCAAAAGGCAAUCUAACGCUAUCUGUUUCAAAACGAAGAAAAAUUGGGGAGUAUAUAGUCUACUGUCAAAUAAAAUUUUGAAAACUUUUA